AGUGAACGCUGGCGGCGUGCUUAACACAUGCAAGUCGAACGAGAACGGAUUAUAGCUUGCUAUAAUUGUCAGCUAAGUGGCGCACGGGUGAGUAAUGUAUAGGUAAUAUGCCUCUUACUAAGGGAUAACAAAUGGAAACGUUUGCUAAUACCUUAUACUCCUUAUUAACAGAAGUUAAUAAGGGAAAGAUUUAUUGGUAAGAGAUUAGCCUGUAUUGUAUCAGUUAGUUGGUGGGGUAAUGGCUUACCAAGACUAUGACACAUAACUGGUUUGAGAGGAUGAGCAGUCACACUGGAACUGAGACACGGUCCAGACUCCUACGGGGGGCAGCAGUGGGGAAUAUUGCACAAUGGACGAAAGUCUGAUGCAGCAACGCCGCGUGGAGGAUGACACAUUUCGGUGCGUAAACUCCUUUUAUAUGAGAAGAUAAUGACGGUAUUAUAUGAAUAAGCACCGGCUAACUCCGUGCCAGCAGCCGCCGUAA
rnacentral:rRNA from 1 species